GCAAACCAAAGCUGGCGACCGGCGCACGGGUGAGUAACACGUAUCCAACCUGCCUCAUACUCGGGGAUAGCCUUUCGAAAGAAAGAUUAAUAUCCGAUAGCAUAUAUUUCCCGCAUGGGUUUUAUAUUAAAGAAAUUCGGUAUGAGAUGGGGAUGCGUUCCAUUAGUUUGUUGGGGGGGUAACGGCCCACCAAGACUACGAUGGAUAGGGGUUCUGAGAGGAAGGUCCCCCACAUUGGAACUGAGACACGGUCCAAACUCCUACGGGAGGCAGCAUG
rnacentral:rRNA from 1 species